ensembl:lncRNA
CCGUGCUGCCCGCCGCGCGGCCUGGCCCGGAGCCGCCCGCCCCCGCCUCAGCGCUGCCUCUCGUCGUCGGGGCGUUUGCGAUAAGCGCUCUGCUGCUUCGGGGCUUCCGAUGGGCGAUCUCAGGGCUCGGCUCCCCGGGAGGCAUCAAUGUUUCCAGGGCAGGGUGAAGAGAAGGGAUUUGGAAGUAUCUGGAAGCUGCACAUUUUCUGCCUAGAAAGGCUGGAGAGCCAAUGCUGUGAUCGCUGUGGAAGCUUUGCCAUUGCUGCUGGGUGACUCAGAAGGAAUCAGCGUAAUUUAUCUGUGUCUUUUCAAAAGACAAGCCUCCUAAAAAAGCAAAGAGCAGAAUGAUUUUCAACAGAUGAACAGCUGAGACCAGCAGGACUCCCUUUUGAACCAAAAUUUGUCUGUGCAGACAGAAUGAACAAACACGAAGAAUUCAAGGCGUGCUGAACUGAUCCUGAGAUAAACACCAACAUUUUUAAUCAAGUGGAAAAUCAGAAAGAAAUAUCUCAUUAAUGUUAUAUAGCAUUCACAAAAAUGUGAAUUUAUGCAGAGAAAUCUCUCUACUUUGACUACUGACUUAAACAGCACAGUGUUCUUUUUCCAGCCUAAUGUUUCAAAUGGGAGAGGAAACCAGAUGUACCAAAACAACAUUAAAAAGAGACAUACCCUUCCUAGGAAAGAAAUUAAUCAUCAAAGUGAACCUCAGAGGCGACAGUCUUCAUGGAUGUUGGAAAGCAGUGUGCAUCUGCCUACUUGUUUCAAGACUGGAUUGCUCUACCAAGAUUUAUCUCCCUGCUCAACUAAUAAACUACAACAUACUUACCAAAAUGGAAACAAGCAGAACCUCUGGCCUCUGGAGCUGUAGGUAACUUCCUUUUUCAUGUAGAUCUUAGGCCCUGGAAGCUUCUUGGGAAAAAUGCUUUCAUUCUCUUUGUUGGAGGUUUUUGGAGAAAUUACAGAGAUUUGCUCUUUAUCCAAUAGUGCAAGGAAUGGUCACUGACACAGGCACUACAGAACACCCACAAAAUGUCAGCCAUCCUCAGAAACACUGAGUGCAGUCAACGUCACUCUCUAAGCUGACAUGCAUGGCAUUUACCAGCCUUCAUUUGCAAGCACACCCAUCCGUGAAGAAUCAGCUCGGUGGUUCUGGUUCGGCACAGAAGUACACAACCAGACACGUGACAGUGUGUGUCACAACACAGUGAAGAAGCUGCUCUGUGCACUGCACAUACCUAGAGACAUGUGGAAAUCCUGCCCAAAGGGAUUUACUGAGUGCCGGCGUGCUGCCAAGAUCCAGCUAGCCCAGGAGCCUGCAGAAACUUAAACAAGGAUUAUCUUCUGGCAGAAACCAAGCAAGAGCAGAUUCCUCUGACAAAGCAGCAUAGCGUUUGCCGAGGAGCUGCCAUGGGCUUAUUGCUGCCUGACCUGAAGCAUGACCCUGUCCCAUUGGCCCAUGCCCUUGGGGGGCACCUAAGGCUUUGAGUAGCCCAAGUCCCACUUCCAUGAUAGAGCACAUGGGGCAGCCACCGCCCUCCCAGCAGAACAGGUCUGAGCUUUCUCCUCCUCCUACUCUCCAGAAAACUUGCUCUCCAGGCAUGGGAUAUACGUGGGGUGUGGCACGGAUGGGGAGGAAAGCACACCUUAGAUCUAGAGCCCUGCUCAAAAGAUGCUGGUUUUCUUGGGAACCUGUCCUGACACAAAGGUUCAAGUCUCAGCAACGUAGCUACCAGGAAGAUAUUUUUCUUUAGGUUUAAAGCAGCUCUUUUCAAGCUCAGAUUGACUCACAAAGCAAUGUGACCAGAAAAGUUGCUGACUUUUCAAACAGCAAAAGGUAGAAAAACAGGAAUUUGUUUUAACAAACAGCAGCGCUGCACUGGCUGUUAAUCAGCCUUUGGGGCUGUGACAUUUGCUGCAAGCAUGCAGCAUUCCUGUUGCCACCUGAGGAGUUCCACCAGUGUUCAUUAGACAUUGGUAUCACUGGUGUCACCCAAACCUCCAUACAUAAGGAUACCACACAGCCCAGGCUGACCUCCCCUCAGCCCACCUCCUUUUGCUGUAUGCGUCAUGCUGAAGCAGCCACCUGAGAUCCCCUGUCCCUGCAAAAGCAAAGCAGGACGAAGGCCUGUUAUGAAAACCAGAUUAUUCCCUUCACUAUGCAGACAGCAUUGCUGAGAGAUACUACUUCUCCACACUGGUAACAGGGUAAGUUCCCUUCAGCACUUUUAUCAAGAGUCUUUUCCAGAAGCCGGGAUAACCAGCAGCUUCUGUGUGACAUGUUUGUGUGCAAACUCCACCAAAAUUAAUGUGACCGAUGGCUUACUUCACAUUGGAUGUUACAGGAGUCUCAGGGAGCACAGGAGUAGACAUGUCCUAACUGAGACAUGCACACGCAGCAAGCUCCUAGGAAUACACAGGCAUUAAGGGCAUGCUGGGAGAUGGGAAAUGCUUGCUGAAGUCAAGCAGCUUGUUUCAGUUAACAAUGUAGUUAACAUGUUCUCUCUGUCCUUUUACUUAUUUAUUUAUUUUGGUUAAUGCUUAGGUUAGGAACAGCUUAUCUAUCUUGGUAUCUUAGAUAGCAAGAAAGCAACGGAACCCUGCAGCAGAACUUCAGCCUAAGAUGCACUGGGAGUUUGUUAGUACUGUAGCUUCAGUGUUGGUUAGAGGGGAGGCUGGGUGACACCAAAGACAGGCAAUCGGUGCUGGCAGGAGGUCUUGCUGGCAGGAAUGGGGAAGUGGAGGAGACAUGUGGGAUUCCUCAUGUUGUUCAGUUGCUUUCUAAGGAAUGAACGGGUUCAUCUCUCUCAGUACAUACCUAAUUGCAGGACCUACUUGCAGCACCCACAAAACAUUUCUAAAUGGCUGCCGAGGACUAGCUGUGUUGGUAGACACUCCCUGAGUAAAAGGGGAGAAAAAAUGAGGAAGACCAGCAUGAGGCAAGGCAGCAAUCCAAUCAGAUAACCUGCUGACAGAAGGCUGUAUCGCUGAGGCUUGCAAAUCAGCUGGCACUGUCUCAAUACAGACUAGGCAUCAGAUAGCAGGGCUCACAUGCC